GACGAACGCUGGCGGCGUGCUUAACACAUGCAAGUCGAACGGAAAGGCCCUGCUUGCAGGGUACUCGAGUGGCGAACGGGUGAGUAACACGUGGGUGAUCUGCCCUGCACUUCGGGAUAAGCCUGGGAAACUGGGUCUAAUACCGGAUAGGAGCCAUUUUUAGUGUGAUGGUUGGAAAGUUUUUUUCGGUGUAGGAUGAGCUCGCGGCCUAUCAGCUUGUUGGUGGGGUAAUGGCCUACCAAGGCGGCGACGGGUAGCCGGCCUGAGAGGGUGGACGGCCACAUUGGGACUGAGAUACGGCCCAGACUCCUACGGGAGGCAGCAGUGGGGAAUAUUGCACAAUGGGCGCAAGCCUGAUGCAGCGACGCCGCGUGGGGGAUGACGGCCUUCGGGUUGUAAACUCCUUUCGCUAGGGACGAAGCUUUUGUGACGGUACCUAGAUAAGAAGCACCGGCUAACUACGUG
rnacentral:rRNA from 1 species